rnacentral:lncRNA from 12 species
GAAGGAGCACAGGAGUUGGAUCACCUGUUACGGGAGUGAAGAUGAAUUGGAUAUGUGCAUGUUGAAUAUAAAGUGUCACUGAGAUGCUUAGGAAGAUCUAUGUAAAGGUUUGUGAGAGACAACAGCCAAGUGCUACAGAAGUGACUUAACCUACAUCU